rnacentral:rRNA from 1 species
UACAGAGGGGGCAAGCGUUAUUCGGAAUUAUUGGGCGUAAAGGGCGCGUAGGCGGCUUUGCAAGUGACGGGUGAAAGCCCUCGGCUUAACCGAGGAACUGCCUGUCAGACUGUAAGGCUUGAGACCGGGAGAGGUGAGUGGAAUUCCCAGUGUAGCGGUGAAAUGCGUAGAUAUCAGGAGGAACACCAAUAGCGAAGGCAGCUCGCUGGGACGGUACUGACGCUGAGGCGCGAAAGCGUGGGGAGCGAACAGG